rnacentral:rRNA from 1 species
UACGUAGGGGGCAAGCGUUGUCCGGAAUCAUUGGGCGUAAAGAGCGUGUAGGCGGCUCGAUAAGUCUGCUGUGAAAUCCCUCGGCUUAACCGGGGAACUGCAUCCGAUACUGGAUGGCUUGAGUUCGGGAGAGGGAUGCGGAAUUCCAGGUGUAGCGGUGAAAUGCGUAGAUAUCUGGAGGAACACCGGUGGCGAAGGCGGCAUCCUGGACCGACACUGACGCUGAGGAGCGAAAGCCAGGGGAGCAAACGGG